rnacentral:tRNA from 1 species
GUUGAGGUGGCAGAGUCCGGCAAUUGCAUAAAACUUAAACCUUUACACCCAGAGGUUCAAAUCCUCUCCUCAACA